rnacentral:lncRNA from 1 species
CUUAGAACUCCCCCAACCUACCUAAUACUAACGUCUUUAUUGGAAUCUAGCACUCUACUUUAAACUGUCACUUUAAAAACUGUCACUUUAAAAAUUGCAGUUCCUGAGGGCUGGCACCGUGGCAUGGACAGAUUUUUUUUUUCUAGGCUGCUUUGUACUGAAGCUGAAAUGGUGUAAAGAUUAUGAAUGUGUGUGAAGCUCUCUCUUCUUGUUCCAAGACCUUUUCCUCUCCCCUCAGGCAAAGCCAUCUGUUCUUCUCAAAUUCUGUUAUCUUCUGUCACCAUGGAAAAGCCUGACACCGAGAAAAGGAAUCAGGAGCAUUGCUUUGAUUUUUGCAGUUCCAAUCCAUUUGCUUAGAGAGAUCAAGUUCCAUUUAUUUGUUUGUCUGGAUUUCCGUGGUAAACCAAAGAGGAACUGCGAUGAAGAGGAAACCAAACUCAGCCUGAGAGUGCAGAACCAUGGGUGGGAUCAGGCACUCAUUUUUGCUGCUCAUCAUCUAAAAAUCAGCUGUGGUAAAAUAAAGUCCAUUGAAAGCUUAAUUUAACUUUGCAUAUUGAAUUGUAUAUUUUGUUAUUUUUACUAUUUACAAUGAUAUACAAGGUAGGUACCUCUUCCCACUUAAAUAUUUGUUACAUUAAAAUUCCACAGAAUUGGGGUGAGAGUUUGAUAUAGCAGUUAGUGCUUAGGAAACCUGCAUCCUCUUUCAGACUGCCUGCUUUGAGUUCUGGCUCCUCUGAUCUUGAAUGAGGUUCCUGCUAAUGUGCAUUCUGACAGUCAGUAAAUGAAGGCUCAAGUACUUGGGUUCCUUCUACCCACAUGGUAGACACAAAUGGAGCUCUGGGCUCCUGACUUUGGCCUUCUAUUUGUGGGCAUUUCGAGAAUGAACCAACAGAUGGAAGAUCUUUCUCUCUCUCUCUUUCUCUCUCUCUCUCUUUCUCUCCUCUCUGCCAUUCAAAUAAAAUAAAAGUAAAUGAAUUUUUAAAAAAACCU